GCCAGACUCCUACGGGAGGCAGCAGUGGGGAAUAUUGCACAAUGGGGGAAACCCUGAUGCAGCGACGCCGCGUGAGUGAAGAAGUAUUUCGGUAUGUAAAGCUCUAUCAGCAGGGAAGAAAUAGCGACCUUUGGGUCGCCAGACGGUACCUGAUUAAGAAGCCCCGGCUAACUACGUGCCAGCAGCCGCGGUAAUACGUAGGGGGCAAGCGUUAUCCGGAUUUACCGGGUGUAAAGGGAGCGUAGACGGCAGCGCAAGUCUGAAGUGAAAUGCCGGGGCUUAACCCCGGAACUGCUUUGGAAACUGUGCAGCUAGAGUGCAGGAGAGGUAAGCGGAAUUCCUAGUGUAGCGGUGAAAUGCGUAGAUAUUAGGAGGAACACCAGUGGCGAAGGCGGCUUACUGGACGACUACUGACGCUGAGGCUCGAAAGCGUGGGGAGCAAACAGGAUUAGAUACCCCAGUAUA
rnacentral:rRNA from 1 species